UAGUCCACGCCGUAAACGAUGAUUACUCGUUGUGCACAAUACAUCGUGCGUGACUGAGCGAAAGCAUUAAGUAAUCCACCUGGGGAGUACGUUCGCAAGAAUGAAACUCAAAGGAAUUGACGGGGGCCCGCACAAGCGGAGGAACAUGUGGUUUAAUUCGAUGAUACGCGAGGAACCUUACCUGGGCUUAAAUGCAUAACGACCGUCUCGGAAACGAGACUUUCUUCGGACGGAAUGCAAGGUGCUGCAUGGUUGUCGUCAGCUCGUGCUGUGAGGUGUCGGGUUAAGUCCCAUAACGAGCGCAACCCCUAUCCUUAGUUGCCAGCGGAUAAUGCCGGGGACUCUAAGGAAACUGCCCGUGCAAACGGAGAGGAAGGUGGGGAUGGACGUCAAAUCAUCACGGCCCUUACGUCCAGGGGCUACACACGUGCUACAAUGGUCAGUACAAAGGGGCAGCUACCUGGGUGACAGGGAU
rnacentral:rRNA from 1 species